GGUCAGCUGACACAUCCCGGCCAAUCUCCAGCAGACCCUCCCUCCCUCCCACCUCCUGGAGAGCAUCCAUGUUGAAGCUGCCUUCAACAUGGAUGCUGUCCAGGAGGUGGGAGGGUCUGGGAGGGAGGGUCUGCUGGAGAUUGGGCGGGAUGUGUCAGCUGA